rnacentral:rRNA from 1 species
GACGAACGCUGGCGGCGUGCUUAACACAUGCAAGUCGAACGGAAAGGCCCUGCUUUUGUGGGGUGCUCGAGUGGCGAACGGGUGAGUAACACGUGAGUAACCUGCCCUUGACUUUGGGAUAACUUCAGGAAACUGGGGCUAAUACCGGAUAGGAGCUCCUGCUGCAUGGUGGGGGUUGGAAAGUUUCGGCGGUUGGGGAUGGACUCGCGGCUUAUCAGCUUGUUGGUGGGGUAGUGGCUUACCAAGGCUUUGACGGGUAGCCGGCCUGAGAGGGUGACCGGCCACAUUGGGACUGAGAUACGGCCCAGACUCCUACGGGAGGCAGCAGUGGGGAAUAUUGCACAAUGGGCGGAAGCCUGAUGCAGCAACGCCGCGUGCGGGAUGACGGCCUUCGGGUUGUAAACCGCUUUCGCCUGUGACGAAGCGUGAGUGACGGUAAUGGGUAAAGAAGCACCGGCUAACUACGUGCCAGCAGCCGCGGUGAUACGUAGGGUGCGAGCGUUGUCCGGAUUUAUUGGGCGUAAGGGGCUCGUAGGUGGUUGAUCGCGUCGGAAGUGUAAUCUUGGGGCUUAACCCUGAGCGUGCUUUCGAUACGGGUUGACUUGAGGAAGGUAGGGGAGAAUGGAAUUCCUGGUGGAGCGGUGGAAUGCGCAGAUAUCAGGAGGAACACCAGUGGCGAAGGCGGUUCUCUGGGCCUUUCCUGACGCUGAGGAGCGAAAGCGUGGGGAGCGAACAGGCUUAGAUACCCUGGUAGUCCACGCUGUAAACGGUGGGUACUAGGUGUGGGGUCCAUUCCACGGGUUCCGUGCCGUAGCUAACGCUUUAAGUACCCCGCCUGGGGAGUACGGCCGCAAGGCUAAAACUCAAAGGAAUUGACGGGGCCCCGCACAAGCGGCGGAGCAUGCGGAUUAAUUCGAUGCAACGCGUAGAACCUUACCUGGGUUUGACAUGGAUCGGGAGCGCUCAGAGAUGGGUGUGCCUCUUUUGGGGUCGGUUCACAGGUGGUGCAUGGCUGUCGUCAGCUCGUGUCGUGAGAUGUUGGGGUAAGUCCCGCAACGAGCGCAACCCUUGUUCACUGUUGCCAGCACGUUAUGGUGGGGACUCAGUGGAGACCGCCGGGGUCAACUCGGAGGAAGGUGGGGAUGACGUCAAGUCAUCAUGCCCCUUAUGUCCAGGGCUUCACGCAUGCUACAAUGGCUGGUACAGAGAGUGGCGAGCCUGUGAGGGUGAGCGAAUCUCGGAAAGCCGGUCACAGUUCGGAUUGGGGUCUGCAACUCGACCUCAUGAAGUCGGAGUCGCUAGUAAUCGCAGAUCAGCAACGCUGCGGUGAAUACGUUCCCGGG